GCAACAAAGUGUCCAAAUCUCUCUAUGUUUUUUAACUAGUGCCCUGGAUGCUUCUUAUGAAGUUACUGGAGCACUGACACUUUCCUUUGGAGCCCUUGGAAUACUGUCUGGCCUUGGAGAAGUCACGUUCCUUCUCUGAGCUUCCAUUUCCACGUCUGUACAAUGGGGAUGGGAAUCCCUGCCUCUCAAGGCUGUACUGUAUCUAAGGAAGAACAAGGAAGAGGAGAUUAAGACACAGCCCUGCUCAGAGGGAAGACCAUGCAAGGACAGAGUGAAGGCGGCCAUCCACAAGCCCAGUAAAGAGGCCUCAGAGAAGCUGCCUUGCAGGCAUCCCAAGCUCACGUCUCAGGACCGCCAUGUGUGACUAUGACAGAAGGUUUGGUGCAGCCUCUUUCCCUUGGCUCUUUGACCCUGACUUUGGGAAAAGACUGCCUCAGUUUUCCUCAUCUGUGGAAGAGGCAAAUAGUAUGUUUGACUCACAGGUUGUUAACGCAGGCAUGUCUCCAAGAAGAUAACAGGAUGAUGACCCUGGCAUUUACUGAGUAUAUAUGACACAUGCUAUCUCCCCUCCCUGUUCAGCUGUGCAAAGUUGGACCCGGCCAGUAACCCUUCUGAAACUCGGUUUUAUCACAUAGGAAAUGGGCAUCACAACCUUUGGCCACGUCAUUGAACAGAGCUGCUGGGAAACCCAGCAAGGCAACACAUGUGACAGGUUCGAGAAAGUACAAAGCGCCUUGCCGAUGGGGGAACCAUUACUUCCAGGCAAAGCGAUGUCAUCUUCCCCAAGGGAUGCUGUUAAACUGAGACCUAAAGUACAGAGCACUAGAAAGAGCAGUUUCGACACACAGGCUGUGGGUCCAAGUCCCAGCUCUGCCAUUUCAGUGAAACCAUGGUCACGUCGCUCAGCUUCAGUAUCCUGCCUACAAAAGAGGAAUGGGGACACCUCUGACAGAAGAGGUGACUACUUUCCAUGCAGGCAUCCCACCAAGUCCCAAAUGAUUCCAUGCACUGCUCCAGCUCACCAAGUUUUCCCUCCUGCCCCCGCCUUCCCCAUGGCUUCGUGUGAAGUCAUGCCAGAGGACUCACUCCAAGGUUCUGAGAGCUCUAUUUCUUUCCCAUCAGAGUCCCAUUCUGAUACAGACACCAUGCCCUUCUAGGAACCUGACAGAGAGGACCAGGGCAUGGGCCCCCUCAGCCUUCAAUUGGGGUCAUAGGAGACUGUGAGCCCAGUGUCCUAUAGCUCACGAUGUGCAAUCCAUGUGUGGCCUCCUUCUAAAUCACAGUGGACUUCUGGCUUCUCCCCACCAUCCAAGCUGACUCACAAUCAGGACAAGAGGAAGUAUUGGGGAUGAGGCAAAAAGCACAACAAUAAGGCUGUCCAAAAAAAAAAAAAUCUCUUUCCAGCAACACUCAUCCAGGGAAGGGUGUGUGCCAGGCUGGGCCUCACAGAGAGGCUGGGGAGGGCCGGAUCUGCUGUCCCUGAGGGCCUACAUAAUUCUAGGUCAUCUGGCUCUACAAAUAAGUAAAAACAUUAAGCUGUCACUUGAACCACUGCUCAGAGGGUGAGGUCAGAGUUUAUUGAUGAGCCACUGAGCAUUAGCUCUGUAACUGCAUAUAGUCAACAGCUGAUUUACCAAAACCACACUGGAUGUAACUAUUUUACAUGGGGGAGGGUGGAUGAGGAAGAUGGUCUAAUCCAUCCUUCCAGUUUUGAGGCAACAUUUUGAAAAUUGAGUAAGUAAGCACUCAUUGGAAGUCAUGUGACUUUCUGUAGUGCCCCCAGAAAACGUGCCCAGAGAAAAAUCAUUUCUCUGGCUCCGUAGGCACUCAAGAAUCUGGCUGCCUAGACCACUAGGUGGGCAGUUUCAGAGACCUAGUCUCCAUAUCCUGAAUGGGAUUAGUGAUGGGGAAGAUUGUCUUUCCCUGCCAAAGGGUUGCCAUUAUGACUAUAGUUGAAGACUCAUGGGUUGUGUCCAAUAUGUGUGGAUGACUGCAAAGUGCUCUCAGACCUCAUGGAUCCCUUACUGGGGUUGGCUUCUGCUACCGGGCCAAGUCUGUGUGGGUCUAGACACUGGUCAGGAGAAGACUUGCCAGGAGGCCUACAUCAGUGAAUAGUCCAAAGUGGAAGGGAGAGAAGAGGAAAGGAAGGCAAAGUCAAAGAAAGAAUUGAAGCACUUGCCUGCCCAUGGCCUCAGGCUGAGUUCUGACCCCAGACGCAGCUGAUACCAGGGCUGACUUUUGACUUGGACAUCAGACUAAGCUUUCCUUCAACUGUGGUUUGUAACAUAAGUGGUUGAUAAUAUGAGGAUCAAGUGGGGUUCAGGGAAAUACCCUGCUUAUUUGGCUCUCCAUUGGUCCUGGAGGAAGGAGCAAGCAAGUACCUUAACUCAAGUAGCACUUAAGCCUAGCAUUGCAAAAAGGCAGCAUCUAUCUAAUAGCUUCAAGAUGGCAGCCCAAAAGGCCAUCAGAUGCCACAGCUAAUCAAAGAACAGAGAUUUCUUUGUGCUUAUAAAACAACAGCUAUCAGAAAAGGACCUUGGGGAAUUUAUCAAUUGACAAAAUAAGGAAAAGAGAGAAUCUAAGAACAACUGCUUCAGUGUUAGAGUAUAGGGAACCUAAGUGGGACAGAAUCAAUAUAGACUUCUUUCUGAAUGUUCUCUCAGUAGAAGCCUGGCAUGGUAGAAGACUAGGGAAUCAGGGGACCCGGUUCGUGUCCUGCCUUCAUUCCUGGUGUACAUGAAGACACUGUGUGUGAGGAGUUCUGAAUGCAAAGGCCUACUGAGGCCGGGUAGGUUCACAAAUGAUUUAAGCAGACAUGUGCAGAUGGGCUACGGGAGAGCCCACGGUGCAUGCCCUAUCUAAAGGGGACAGCCGUCCUCAGCAACUGCCAGUUAUUGCAGUGUAGGAAUUAGGCCCCAAGUUCUAUGACCCUUUCAUAUAAUUUUUCAAGAGAUACUGGGAAUCUUGAGUUUUAUGUGAAAUUUCUAACUCAUGCAAACUAGUUUUUCUUUUACUUUAAAGCAAAAAAAAAAAAAAAAAAAAAAGAAAAGUCCAUGGGCU